AACUUCGCCCUUUGGUGUUACUAUCUCCUGGACCUACAGUACUCUUUCCUCAAGAUGGGAAAGCGCUCAGGAUCAGACAAUGGCUACACCAUCCAUAUCCAACAGCCGCAACAAAUAAACACGUGUCUACAAAAUAACUACAACCCCCAAGAAGCUUUACACUGUUUUGAGGGAAGAGGUGGCGCAUGCUUAAUCACUCUCCCGAGGAAAUUAAAUUUAACUACCAUUCCCAGAGGGCGCCGCGCUACAGAUUAUCCAAUCAGCUUUAAGUAAAAAGCAUCGCGAGUCUUCGGUGAGACUCUGCUCUAUAAGCCCCUGGAAACGAGCGUUGGAAAUCCCUUUUACGAAGAUGGCGCCGAAAGCUAAGAAGGAAGGUUUGUGCUGGAGCUGGGGGGUGACUGCGGGUAGCUGGCGUGAGAGCCCCUCAGAGUGAACGGACCGGGAGGACAAUGGCUGAGCUAAGCCUUGCGGUGUCUGCUCCGGAGCCGCUUCUGGGAUUCUGGCACGCUGCGGUGCGCGUGGGCCCAGCCGCAUGGGCUGAGCUUCUGUAAGGAGGUUGGGGAGGCAAGCCCGGCCGGCACCACCUCUCGGGGCUGCCGGACUGUUGGCUUUGGGGAACAACACGCAUCCACAGGACGGAGCUCCACGUCUCCAGACCUGUAAAGAAUUAAGUCCUCAACUUAGUUUCCUCUUUUUUUUUUUUUCUUCCGCGUUAGAGCUAUAUAGGUAGGUAAAACCACUAACACCUAUCUUGUCAGAUAUCAACCUUUCGAUCAUUGCUAGUUCCCUUUUUUCUUCGUCGUAUUUCUGGAAUUACUCUUAAGUUCGCCCCAGUAUCGUGCAUAUGAUGGAAAAAUUGUAACCUGAGACUUGUGAUGUCUUCAAAGGAACCACUGAUGCACGUGUGGCCUGGAGCGCCCGCUAGGGCUUUUGAGUACGGAAGUGACUGGUUUCUGAAUCCUGUGCCCUCGUUUUCCUUCUUUCUCUCAGCCCCUGCCCCUCCCAAAGCCGAAGCCAAAGCAAAGGCUUUGAAAGCCAAGAAAGCGGUGCUGAAAGGCGUCCACAGUCACAAAAAAAAGAAGAUCCGCACAUCACCUACGUUCCGACGACCCAAGACUCUGCGUCUCCGAAGGCAACCUAAAUACCCUCGAAAGAGCGCCCCCAGGAGAAACAAGCUUGACCACUAUGCCAUCAUCAAGUUCCCCCUGACUACUGAGUCAGCCAUGAAGAAAAUAGAAGACAACAACA